GACGAACGCUGGCGGCGGGCUUAACACAUGCAAGUCGAACGGAAAGGCCCUGCUUUUGUGGGGUGCUCGAGGGGCGAACGGGGGAGUAACACGUGAGUAACCUGCUCUUGACUUUGGGAUAACUUCAGGAAACUGGGGCUAAUAUCGGAUAGGAGCUCCUGCUGCAUGGAGGGGGGUGGAAUGUUUCGGCGGUUGGGGAUGGACUCGCGGCUUAUCAGCUUGUUGGUGGGGGAGUGGCUUACCAAGGCUUUGACGGGUAGCCGGCCUGGGAGGGUGACCGGCCACAUUGGGACUGAGAUACGGCCCAGACUCCUACGGGAGGCAGCAGUGGGGAAUAUUGCACAGUGGGCGGAAGCCUGAUGCAGCGACGCCGCGUGCGGGAUGACGGCCUUCGGGUUGUAAACCGCUUUCGCCUGUGACGAAGCGUGAGUGACGGUAAUGAGUAAAGAAGCACCGGCUAACUACGUG
rnacentral:rRNA from 1 species